rnacentral:lncRNA from 10 species
CUCUAUACUUCCCCUAGGAACAACGGCUAUUUGCUAAUUCAUUGUUCCCAAUGCCUUUAUAAAGCUUGACUACCAAGAUAAUGAGAAUCAACUAUAUAUGUAUAUACAACAUGGAAGGAUAUAUAUAUCAAGAUAAUAAUAGUGGUUUUCUUUGAUAAGAAGAAUGCAGUUGCUUUUCAUUCUUUUAUACUUUUCCAGAUUUUUCUACCAGCAAUAUGUGUAAUGUAUAUAAUUGAGGAAAAGUUAGUUAUAUAACAAAAUGUAAGACCCCCGAGAAAUUGAUCAUGCCAGUUAAAGACCUUAGCAACAUUCAGGAAGCCAUAGAGGUGGGCGCUAAUGUUUCUGAAGGUACCAGUGGCAUAACUAGCCAUAUGAAAGAACCAACUAAGGGAGUACUUGGUCUCUCCCUUUGGAAGUGGAAGCUAGUACAGAAAGGUGCCGAGUAAUAUUGUGCUCUUUCUCUUGAAAACAAAACAAAACUUCAUUCUAUACAUUGUCAAAUGCAUGGAAAGGAAAAUCCUGCUGGCUUGCCUCAUCUCUGAAUGAAGUUCAUUGGCCACUUGGUAGCUGAAAAGGACCUAGAAUGCCUGAUUUGUUCCCACACUGAUGCUUGGUAGUGGAGAAAAUAAAGCUGCUGUGGGCCUUGCAUAGCCACCCAGUCCCACACCCGAGUGGUCAGGUUAGGCUUUAAGUGAAUGUGUAAUUUGAAAAUCAAUGCUAAGACCAUGAAAAAAAGCAUGGCAGUAUUGUGACUCUGUCAACCCCAAGCUUCCUCUGGGGAAUCUGUGUGUUGUCAACAUUUCACCCUCACAUUACUCACAGGUGGUAGCAGCUGUGGCAUCAUUUUUUUAUCCUUGGUUUGUUUUCAGCUCCCCUGAGACCCAUAUAGGACACACCUCCCAUUUAUAACAACUCUUCUUUUGCAAAGGAUCCCACGGGGCUUCAUUAAUAACUCAAUCUAGCCCCAGAGGUCAUUGCUGCUGCUUCUGGGGCAAAGCACUACCUGAUAGCACACAGAAACCCAGGAUAGUCGUUUGAAUGAGGAAAGGGAGGAGGGGCCAGGCCUGGUGGCUCAUGCCUAUAGUCCCGGCACUUUGGGAGGCUGAGGCAGGAGAAUCCCUUGAGGCCAGGAGUUCGAAACCAGCCUGGGCAACAUAGCAAGACCCUGUCUCUACUAAAUUAAAUAAACAAACAAAUAAAUAAAUAAUUUAUAAAAAGAAGUAGAGGCUGGGCGCAGUGGUUCACGCCUGUAAUUGAACUAAGAUAGCUCCACUGCACCUCAGCCUCAGUGACAGAGCAAGAUCC